CAGAAGAGAUACCAUUUGCCAUAGCGCCUGCGUAGUAAGCGUAUUUUACCCCGUGAACGCGGCGGAAAUUACUAUCG
rnacentral:tRNA from 1 species